GGAAUAUUGGACAAUGGGCGCAAGCCUGAUCCAGCAACUCCGCGUGAGGGAUGAAGGCCCUCGGGUCGUAAACCUCUGUCAGAAGGGACGAAAUCCCUGAUUCGCACAGGAUCGGGUGCUGACGGUACCUUCACAGGAAGCACCGGCUAACUCCGUGCCAGCAGCCGCGGUAAUACGGAGGGUGCAAGCGUUGUUCGGAAUUACUGGGCGUAAAGCGGGUGUAGGCGGCCGCGCAAGUCAGAUGGGAAAUCCCUGGGCCCAACCCAGGAACUGCAUUUGAUACUGCACGGCUCGAGUCCCGGAGAGGAUGGCGGAAUUCCAGGUGUAGAGGUGAAAUUCGUAGAUAUCUGGAGGAACACCAGCGGCGAAGGCGGCCAUCUGGACGGUGACUGACGCUCAGACCCGAAAGCGUGGGGAGCAAAC
rnacentral:rRNA from 1 species